GACCCCUUCGUCUAGUGGUCCUAGGACCCCGCCCUUUCACGGCGGUAACAGGGGUUCAAAUCCCCUUGGGAUCACCA
rnacentral:tRNA from 1 species